GCAUCUCCAAUGCAAGUUUCUUAGUUCUUAUUUUGGAGUUAAGAACUAAAAACUAAGAACUUUACCAUUGGAGGUGC
rnacentral:pre_miRNA from 1 species